rnacentral:lncRNA from 1 species
AGCACAUAGUAAUUAGUAUCAGUGACUUGAACUAAUCAGGGCUCAGUUUACAUUAACUGCUUGGAAUAUCAAAAGCUUACAUAUGAUACAUAAGAGUUAUAGAUCCAAAUCAUUAGAUCUAAACAUAAAUGAUGCAACACAAUAAAAGCAAACCAUAAGCUGAAAAAUUAGGACAAUAAAAUGUUAAAUUUUGAAAUUGAAUUAUCAAUUAAGUUGAUUUAUUAGCUUUGAAGUUCAUCUUCUCAUAAUACCGAAUCGAUAACAGCGAUAGCGAGAGAUUGACUUCAUCUUUUCCCCAUCGAGUGUUCGUAGCGGCGUAUUUCAACGGCCGAGUAGGCGGCGGAGGAAGGCAAGGCCAGGCGGAAGUUGGAGGAGUCGAAGAAGACGACGAUGGAGACGGCGACGGCUUUGAGAGUGGCCAGAGGUAGAGAGGCCAGGCGGAAGCUGGAGGAGUCGAAGAAGACGACGAUGGACACGGCGACGGCUUUGAGAGUGGCCAGAGAUAAAGCGAGUAGAGCCGUCGGAAACCUCCGAGAGCGAGGACGACGGCGCGGAGCUGCUGUUGUUGGUUACGGUUGUGCUUUGUGCAGAUCAGCUCCCAGAGCCGCUCAUCUAGUGCCGUCUGGUUCCACUGCUUGCUAACGCACGCUGCCGUAGCUAACGUGCGCCCGUCCACGUGUUUCAGCACUUCGUACAGCAGAUUCUCAUCCAACAACACCGCCUCCGCUUCCGCCUCCGACUCUAUAAUCUCCUCCAUCUUCAUCUUCUUCUUCAAUUCACCAUCUCCGGCGGAGGCUGUGCAGUUAGUUUCUCCGGCAUCGAAUUGCCGCUUCAUCGGCAACUUUUUCUCUUCCUCUGACUCUAUAACUAUUUUCAUCUUCUUCAACUCCCCUUCGCCGGCGGCGAAAUUAGCACAAUCGGUUUCUCCGCCGUCGAAUUGCCGCUUCAUUUGAUAGAUCUGAAUGAGGAAAUCAAAGGAUAAAGGAGGAGGACUUUUAUUCUCUCGAUUCGGGGGUUGCUAGUAGGGGUGGGGUGGGGUUGAAAAGGGGUAGGGUGUGGUUAAUGGUGGAUUAAAGGGAAGCACAUGCUAUGGGGCUAUAGAGAUGAUUAUCGAAGACGACAAAGGAAGGUAAUGAAUGGUCAUUUGAGUGGGCCGAAGAAAAUGAC